AUUAUGGUUUAAGUUCUUAUACUCAAUCAUACACAUGACAUCUAGUCAUAUUCUACUCCAAAACACUAACCAAGCUU
rnacentral:sRNA from 1 species